rnacentral:lncRNA from 1 species
UGCAUAAACCAUCCACAAUCAAACAAUAUAUAUAAUAUAACAUUAACAUGGUCAUAAGAUAACUAAACAAAAAAUAAUAGAAAAACAAAAGCACAACACCUAUAGUGGAAUCUGAAUCCUAGUAGCUUCUUGAACCAAAGCAGUUCUAGCAGUCACAAUUUUGCUAUUAGAAAUUAAAGGAGGAUCAAAUGUUGUGCAAUCUAUCCAAUCCUUCAAGUACUCUUCUUGUCCCCACAUAUCUGGAAUCCAUACUCUUCCACCCAUUUCAACUCUAUGUCUCUUCAACCUCUCUCUUCCACUUUCUUCUUCCUCAACAAUAGGCAAAACCAUCUUCUUCAAAUAUGCUAUUUCAAUCUUUGUGUCAUCUUCUUCUUCUUCUUCUUUGAGUUGAUGAGGUUUCUUCAUUUCAAGAUCAAUUAGGUCAUGAGAUUUAGUAGAUGAUUGGUGAGUCAUUGUAGUAGUAUUUGUGUUUGUGUUUGUGUUGUUCUCUUUCAUGCAAAACAGGACCAUAUUGAAGAAUGUAUAUAGUGUUGAUAUUUUAAUUUCUGUGUGCUAUGAAUAUUAUUUUUGAGUCUUGGUUUUGUGUGACAGUGUAUGGGGAAGAAAAUUAAAGGCAUGAGGAGAAUGAAAUGAGUGGGAAAUUAGUUCACACGUCACCCCACAAGACAAGACUACGAGGGGUUCUUUUGUAUGGUAUGUGACAAACGUACGUGUCUUGUUUCAUGUGGGACUUUUAUAAUGUGUGGUUUGGAAUUUGGAUGUUGGUUCUCAACUUGCAAAAAUAAGGAAUUUUCUAUUGGAAAAUGAUAUAUAUUGAAAGAGAGUGGUGAGGGAUGAUCGAUACCUUGGAUGGAUAUUUUGGAGGAUUGUGAGGUUGACGUUGGUCUUCUAUAUAUCAUGUAUUCUUGGCUUCUAUUUCAAUCAAUUAGCAUUGAGAAUUUGAUUUUUU